UACGGGGGGGGCAAGCGUUGUUCGGAAUUACUGGGCGUAAAGGGUGCGUAGGUGGCGAGGUAAGUCGGAUGUGAAAUCUCAGGGCUCAACCCUGAAACUGCAUUCGAUACUGCCUUGCUCGAGGACUGGAGAGGAGAUUGGAAUUCACGGUGUAGCAGUGAAAUGCGUAGAUAUCGUGAGGAAGACCAGUGGCGAAGGCGGAUCUCUGGACAGUUCCUGACACUGAGGCACGAAGGCCAGGGGAGCAAACGGG
rnacentral:rRNA from 1 species